rnacentral:lncRNA from 1 species
CAUCAAGUGAUGAGAAAUAUAACUGCAACAAAAUGAUCGACUAUUUGUUCGUGAUUAUUGGUAUUUAAGUCUCUGAUGAUGAUGAUCAUGAUGAACAACAUAUAAUCAAAUGUUAUUUUACUGAGUGUUAAUUUACACUCAUUGUUUUUGUUAUUUUGGAGAAAUGAUGAGUAAUUAAUUGGUCCGUGUUUCUGAAUUAACCGUGACCGACAACUUUUUAACCAACUUCUGAUCUC